GAUGCAGAAUUUGGAUCUGCAGCCCCAGCUGUAAAAAUCUUGCAACUCUGAGAGCCUCUACUGGAGACCAAAGCGAAGGCUGUCAGAGAUUACUCCAUCUUGGACCUUUUAGCAUUUUUCUUUCAGAAGCACAGGCAGCUUUGCCAUGACUCCCCCAAUGGACUGCAUUCUCUACAGCAAGGAGAGAAAUGCCACCUCACAAAAGGUGGCUGAGCAUAUCAUUGCAGUGAUCCAAACCAGCCACGCAACAUCCAGGACAGGUGCACAUACCGAACAGAAAGGAUUUAGGAACCAAUGGACUACUUGCUGUCGCUGCGUUCUCAGGUCUCGAAGGAUGCAGUGCAGAGAGAAGCAUAUCAUAAUCCCUACUGUAGAGGGGAAAACAAUGGCCUGGAGCACUGUAUCAUUGAGUAGCCAAGUUGGGAAUCCCAUCUGAAUCUGUCCUGUCUCUGGACAAAGCUGCCACUUACCUAUGAGUA